UACACAGGUCUCAAGCGUUGUUCGGAUUCAUUGGGCGUAAAGGGUGCGUAGGUGGCGCCGUAAGUCAGGUGUGAAAUCUCGGGGCUCAACCCCGAAACUGCACUUGAUACUGCGGUGCUCGAGUACUGGAGAGGAGAUUGGAAUUUACGGUGUAGCAGUGAAAUGCGUAGAUAUCGUAAGGAAGACCAGUGGCGAAGGCGAAUCUCUGGACAGUUACUGACACUGAGGCACGAAGGCCAGGGGAGCAAACGGG
rnacentral:rRNA from 1 species